rnacentral:rRNA from 1 species
AGCGAACGCUGGCGGCAGGCCUAACACAUGCAAGUCGAACGAAGUCUUCGGACUUAGUGGCGGACGGGUGAGUAACACGUGGGAACGUGCCUUUAGGUUCGGAAUAACUCAGGGAAACUUGUGCUAAUACCGAAUGUGCCCUUCGGGGGAAAGAUUUAUCGCCUUUAGAGCGGCCCGCGUCUGAUUAGCUAGUUGGUGAGGUAAAGGCUCACCAAGGCGACGAUCAGUAGCUGGUCUGAGAGGAUGAUCAGCCACAUUGGGACUGAGACACGGCCCAAACUCCUACGGGAGGCAGCAGUGGGGAAUUUUGCGCAAUGGGCGAAAGCCUGACGCAGCCAUGCCGCGUGAAUGAUGAAGGUCUUAGGAUUGUAAAAUUCUUUUGUGCGGGAAGAUAAUGACGGUACCGCAAGAAUAAGCCCCGGCUAACUUCGUGCCAGCCGCCGCUGUAAAAC